GUUCGAGGACGAACGUUAUUUUAAGUGGUGGAGAAUGUAAUAAAUCAUUUUUUUAAAUAAGGGUUUGUUUGGUAAUUUUUGCUAAAAAGGAAUUAAAAAGAAAAUAAAAUAGAAGGAAUUUAGUGGGCCAAGCCCAAAAAGGAAAAGGAAAAAAAAUUUAAAGGAAGGGCUGAAGCCCCAAUUUGAAAGAAAGGAGCAGAAUGAUCUUAAAAAAGAAAAAAAGAAGCCACUGUAGCAGAGGCAGAAAACGUAGAAGCAAAAGAGGAAAAAAAAAACGCAGUAGAAGAAAGGGAGAAAAAGAGAGGAAGGGAGAGGAGAAAAAUAAAGAUUUUCCACCCAACUCAUCAAGUGUGAGGCAAUUCAGAGACUCGAGAACGCAGUUUUGAUUUAUCGGGAAGUGUGCUUGAAUUGUGAAUUUGAGAUACUAUUGGUGACGACGAAGCUAGUAGCUCAUGAGUUUGCUAGAGUUGAUCUAUUGGUGGAAGUGAGCCGCCGCUUUGUUCGUGGAGGCUACCAAAAGUGUCUUUACC